GACGAACGCUGGCGGCGUGCUUAACACAUGCAAGUCGAACGGAAAGGCCCUGCUUUUGUGGGGUGCUCGAGUGGCGAACGGGUGCGGAACACGUGAGUAACCUGACCUUGACUUUGGGAUAACUUCAGGAAACUGGGGCUAAUACCGGACAGGAGCUCCUGCUGCAUGGUGGGGGUUGGAAAGUUUCGGCGGUUGGGGAUGGACUCGCGGCUUAUCAGCUUGUUGGUGGGGUAGUGGCUUACCCAGGCUUUGACGGGUAGCCGGCCUGAGAGGGUGACCGGCCACAUUGGGACUGCGAUAGGGACCAGUGUGCUACGGGAGGCAGCAGUGGGGAGUAUUACACAGUGGGCGGAAGCCUGAUGCAGCAACGCCGCGUGCGGGAUGACGGCCUUCGGGUUGUGAACCGCUUUCGCCUGUGACGAAGCGUGAGUGACGGUAAUGGGUGAAGAAGCACCGGCUAACUACGUG
rnacentral:rRNA from 1 species